GAUGAACGCUAGCGGCAGGCCUAACACAUGCAAGUCGAACGGAUCCUUCGGGAUUAGUGGCGGACGGGUGAGUAACACGUGGGAACGUGCCUUUUGGCUCGGAACAACUCAGGGAAACUUGAGCUAAUACCGGAUAAGCCCUUCGGGGAAGGAUUUAUCGCCAUUAGAGCGGCCCGCGUCUGAUUAGCUAGUUGGUGAGGUAAAGGCUCACCAAGGCUACGAUCAGUAGCUGGUCUGAGAGGAUGAUCAGCCACCAUUGGGACUGAGACACGGCCCAAACUCCUACGGGAGGCAGCAGUGGGGAAUCUUGCGCAAUGGGCGAAAGCCUGACGCAGCCAUGCCGCGUGAAUGAUGAAGGUCUUAGGAUUGUAAAAUUACUUUUCAGCAGGGACGAUAAUGACGGUACCUGCAGAAGAAGCCCCGGCUAACUUCGUGCCAGCAGCCGCCGUAAG
rnacentral:rRNA from 1 species